UACGUAGGGUGCAAGCGUUAUCCGGAUUUAUUGGGCGUAAAGGGCUCGUAGGCGGUUCGUCGCGUCCGGUGUGAAAGUCCAUCGCUUAACGGUGGAUCCGCGCCGGGUACGGGCGGGCUUGAGUGCGGUAGGGGAGACUGGAAUUCCCGGUGUAACGGUGGAAUGUGUAGAUAUCGGGAAGAACACCAAUGGCGAAGGCAGGUCUCUGGGCCGUUACUGACGCUGAGGAGCGAAAGCGUGGGGAGCGA
rnacentral:rRNA from 1 species